rnacentral:ncRNA from 1 species
CCAGUACCGUGAGGGAAAGGUGAAAAGAACCCCGGGAGGGGAGUGAAAUAGAACCUGAAACCAUAUGCUUACAAGAAGUUAGAGCCCGUUAAAGGGUGAUAGCGUGCCUUUUGUAGAAUGAACCGGCGAGUUACGAUAUGGAGCGAGGUUAAGCAGGAUAUGCGGAGCCGAAGCGAAAGCGAGUCUUAACAGGGCGAAAGUUGCAUGUCGUAGACCCGAAACCGAGUGAUCUAGCCAUGACCAGGUUGAAGUUGGGGUAAAACCCGAUGGAGGACCGAACCGACCCCCGUUGAAACGUUGGCGGAUGAGUUGUGGCUAGGGGUGAAAUUCCAAUCGAACUCGGAGAUAGCUGGUUCUCCCCGAAAUAGCUUUAGGGCUAGCGUCGAGGUAAAGUCGUGUGAAGGUAGAGCACUGAAUAUGUGAUGGCCCCAUCUCGGGGUACUGAACAUAAUCAAACUCCGAAUGUCACAAAGAUAUACUCGGCAGUCAGACAGUGGGUGAUAAGGUCCAUUGUCAAAAGGGAAACAGCCCAGACCAUCAGCUAAGGUCCCAAAAUAUAUACUAAGUGGAAAAGGAUGUGGAGAUGUCCAGACAACUAGGAGGUUGGCUCAGAAGCAGCCAUCCUUUAAAGAGUGCGUAACAGCUCACUAGUCGAAUGACUCUGCGCCGAUAAUUUACCGGGGCUAAGUAUAUUACCGAAGCUAUGGAUUUACGCGUAAGCGUGAGUGGUAGGGGAGCGUUCUAUGUGCGGAGAAGCGGUACCGUAAGGAGCCGUGGAGCGCAUAGAAGAGAGAAUGCCGGUGUGAGUAGCGAAACGUGGGUGAGAAUCCCACGCACCGAAAACCCAAGGUUUCCAGAGGAAGGUUCGUCCGCUCUGGGUAAGUCGGGACCUAAGGCGAGGCCGAGAGGCGUAGUCGAUGGACAACAGGUAGAGAUUCCUGUACUUACGGUAUGAAUGAUGGAGUGACGGAGAAGGCUAGCGGAUCCUGCUGAUGGAAAUGCAGGUGCAAGCGAGGUAGCCGACAGCCAGGCAAAUCCGGCUGUCGAAAGGCAAAGGCGUGAGGCGUAUGGA